rnacentral:lncRNA from 1 species
AGCAUCAGAUAGACGGCCCAGAACUGUAAUGAUGCACAAAACUUGAUUCAAGUUUAAAGAAAAAAAAAAAAUAAUAAUAAUAAUAAUAAUAAUUACACACACACUACCAUUCAAAUGUUUGCAAUAAGCAAGAUUUUUUAUGUUUUUUAAAGAAGUCUCUUCUGCUCAUCAGGGCUGCAUUUAUUUAAUCAAAAAUACAGUAAGAAAAGUAAAAUUGUGAAAUAUUAAUACAAUUCAAGAUAUUUUUAAACAUAUUUUAAAAUAUAAUUCAUGCCUGUGAUGGCAAAGCUGAAUUUUCGUAAACCAUUACUCCAGUCUUCAGUAUUACACGAUCAAUCAAAAAAUCAUUCUUAUAUUCUGAUAUAUUAUUAAUGUUGGAAACCGUUAAUAUUAAUAUUAAUAUUAAUAUAUUAAUAUUUUUUGGAACCUGUGAUACUUUUUUCAGAAUUCUUAGAUGAAUAAAAAGUUACAAAUCUUUUGUAACAAUAUAAAAGUCUUUACUAUCACUUUUGAUCAAUUCUUUGAUUAAUAAAAAUUACUAAUUUCUUUCAAAAAAUUACAGAUCUUACUAAUCCCAAACUGUUGAAUUAUAGUGUAUAUAACACAAUAUACAGUAUAUUUUUAAUGACUAAUCUGUAACACUAUUAACAUACUUGAGUGUUCUGGGUCAUUGCAUACUGGAGAAUCAUUCAUAUGUGGAGCACAAACGGCAUGGAUCUUUCUGUCAGAGAAAUCAUUUUCCUCUGUAACAUAAAUGACUAGUAAGUCACUGUGUUAUUUCUAAAGGCCUAUUUGAGAUUUUUUCCCCUGUUCUUUCUCACCCUCAGUGUGUCUCGAAGUGAAAUACAGCAUUUAUACACACCUGAGAGCAUCUGACCUGAGCAAAGUUCAUAAGUUGUGAAAACUCCGCAAGUGAGACAGGGGGAGCAAGGGAGACGGGAAGCACAAAUGCAACAAGACACUGAUGUAUUGAAGAGGUGAUGUGUGCUGACUGGCAGCCAGGGGCCCGGCAGAGCCGCUGCCAUGGGACGUGUGUCAAACAGGCAGGAUUCAAACUGACACGGGUCACAGGUGUCCAUAACCCAGAAAGAACCAGAGAGCAGUACAUCACUGUUAGCUGCUGCUAAUGAGGCUUCAUGCUCCGACCUUUGACAUUAUAAGGCACAAAAAUAGACAGAGGAGCAGAAGCUGGGGCACUGACAGUAAUUAAAGGAAUAGUUCAGAUGAAAAUGUGCUGAAAAUGUCCUCAACCUCAAGUCAUGCAAGAUGUAGAUGAGUUUGAUUCCUCAUCAGAAUUGGAGAAAUGUAGCAUUCCAUCACUUGCUCACCAGUGGAGUGAAUGGGUGCCGUCAGAAUGAGAGUCCAAACAGCUGAUAAAAACAUCACAGUAAUCCACACCACUCCAGUCCAUCAGUUAACAUCUUGAGAAGCCAAAAGCAGUAUUUGUAAGAAACAAAUCCAUCAAGUCAUUUUUAACUUCAAACCAUUGCUUCCGGCUAAAAUAUGCAUCCAUAAUCCAUAAUAACGCUUCCUCCAGUGAAAAAAAGUAAUCUUAUCUGAAUCAGGAAAUAUGUAGCGAUCAAGCAGUUUACAAGCCAAAGCAGCUCUGAACAAAUAUGAGUGUGGAUUGAGAUGUAAUAGACAACAGGGGAUGGACUUUUUCACAUUCACAUUUCACAUUCUUAUGGAUUUUUAUAUGUAGCUAUUAAGUCAAAAAGUCUUGAAGGAAUUGCUUACAAACAUGCAGCUUUUGGCUUCACGAUGUGAACUGAUGGACUGGAGUGGUGUGGAUUAUUGUGAUGUUUAUAUCAGUUGUUUGGACUCUCAUUCUGACGGCACCCAUUCACUGCAGAAGGAUCCAUUGGUGAGUAAGUGAUGGAAUGCUACAUUCUUCCAAAUCUCUAAAUACCAUCUACAUCUUGCAUGCAGUCUUUUGGCUUCACGAUGUGAACUGAUGGACUGGAUGGUGUGGAUUAUUGUGAUGUUUAUAUCAGUGUUUGGACUCUCAUUCUGACGGCACCCAUUCACUGCAGAAGGAUCCAUUGGUGAGUAAGUGAUGGAAUGCUACAUUUCUCCAAAUCUCUAAAAUCCAUCUACAUCUUGCUUGGCCUGAGCUGAGGGUGAGUAAAUUCUAAGCAUUUUUGGGUGAACUAUUCCUUUAAAGGUUUCUGUGAGGAUUACUGCAGAAUGUAGCAAAUUCUACAGGGUGAAAAACUCCAAAUUUCUCAGUGUCUGGAUAAUUGUUACAAUGUAGCAGUGUGAGUGGAAUGUUGAAGUUCAACUGUUACAUUUCAAAUUUAAAUGUUUCAUUUUGAGUCAGACAUGCCUGGCUGAAAGAAAUGUGUUGUGUUCUGUUAAGAGGAAUCUUUGAAAUGCUUCUUUUUAAGAAGGCUCAUUUUGUGUUUUUCACAGCACUGUUUGAACCCACCUUACUGUGUGUUUUUGGUCUUUAUAAAACAUAAUGAUAUUAUUUAUUCCUCUGCAUUUCUUUUGGUGUUCCUGACAUGGUUUGUGACAUUCACCAAAUGUUUUGAUGUUCAUGUCUCUGAUUUCUGUUUAUUCCAUUUGACAGCAUCAUGUUAAUACACCGGAAAUGAAACCUGAGGUUUCACCAAGUCACUGAAAUACACUUUAGCACUUUCUUUAGGACAAUAAUGAAGACACAAUGCUUGAACUGAGAGACCAAUCAGAUCAAUCAGAGAAUGUCAAUCUAUCGAUCAGUUUUUUUCUUAUUUGUGUUCCUAUGAAAUCUAUAAACCUGGGCAAACAGCAAUAAUCAUGAUGUGUAACUAGUGAUGUUAGCGUCAGAUGUGUUGGAGACAACAGUAGCUCCAUAGAACGUCUGUUCACAUACACUGGUUCAGGACAUGCUGUGGACAGAGUCGAUCAAAACCUGGAUGGACAAUGAUAAGCACACAAACUGGAUAUUAUUAAAGAAAAGAACAAAUAAAAAUAUUACGAAUUAGACUGCGUCUGUGUCCUGAUUCAAAGCUGCAUGCUGAAGAUUGUCGUUUGAGCUCCUAAAAAAUAAUAAUAAUUAAAUUUUAGCUGAUAUGCAUGUUUUAAAAUGUAUAUUCUUUCUCUUUUAGGAAAAUACACCAAAUUAUUGAUGCAUGUUAGCCAGUCAUAACAGAGGAAACAGAUGUACAAUUAAACAACCUGUUCAGAUCAGGCUGGAUCUCUUGAAAACCUAAAAUACAAUAGUUUUUGGUGCAAGAAACAUUGACUUAUAUUAAAAAUAGACUUCAGGGAGAAAAUGACUUCACUGCAAAAGUGAUUUAACAUUAUUAAAUCAAGACAUUUUCUUUAGAAGCAACAUGACAUG